UACGUAGGGUGCAAGCGUUUGUCCGGAAUUAUUGGGCGUAAAGAGCUCGUAGGCGGUUUGUCGCGUCGGCUGUGAAAACCCGGGGCUCAACCCCGGGCCUGCAGUCGAUACGGGCAAACUAGAGUGUGGUAGGGGAGACUGGAAUUCCUGGUGUAGCGGUGAAAUGCGCAGAUAUCAGGAGGAACACCGGUGGCGAAGGCGGUUCUCUGGGCAUGUCCUGACGCUGAGGAGCGAAAGUGUGGGGAGCGAACAGG
rnacentral:rRNA from 1 species